GUGGAGCAUGUGGCUUAAUUUGACUCAACGCGGGAAAUCUUACCGGGUCCGGACACACUGAGGAUUGACAGGUGUUUUGCAUAAGGCACUUGUGUUUACCACUUUAUGUGGUGCACUCGUGUUAUUUUUGCAUUUUAAAUAUGCUAGUCCUUUCAUGAUUGUGUGAUAGGUGGUGCAUGGCCGUUCUUAGUUCGUGGAGUGAUCUGUCUGCUUAAUUGCGUUUCACUUACGAUUCAGCCAGGGCUCUUAUUGCAUCUGUGACCUCAUGCUUCGCGGUGUGAUUGUGUCCGGUGCGAUAGACCCUGAUGAAUCUUGAAAGCAACGAACGUGACCGCAUCCUCUUGUUGCCUCACUUGUGUUCAGAUUUUAAUCUGUCGCACUUUCAUACAUAAAAUUUUUUUUUUAUGUGUGUCUGUAGUUGAGGGGAACUAGAGGGACCGCUGACAAUUCUUAAACCAGAGGAAGGUUGCGGCAAUAACAGGUCUGUGAUGCCCUUAGAUGUUCCGGGCUGCACACGUGCUACAAUGAUUAUUGCAGUGAGCAUCUUACCCAGUUCGUGUGCACAGAUACCUAUUUGUUAAAUGCCUUUUCCGUGCUGAUGAUGUGUCUCCGGACAUGGAAACAGCGUAGAGACUGCAUACAAUAUAGGUCACUCAGAUGCAUUUAACGACUAGGCUACUUCGAAAGUAAGUGGCUAAUCAAUUCGAAGUAAUGAUUUCCCUAAGCUAUUGAUGUACUUGACUUUUUUGUCGAUACAUCAGCUUCAUCAGUUCGUGGUGGGGACAGACCAUUGUUAAUUAUUGGUCUCGGUCUCAACUAGGAAUGCCUUGUACGGGUCUUUGGUUCAUCAGACCACCCGGAAUAUGUCCCUGCCCUUUGUACACACCGCCCGUCGCUCUUACCGAUGGACUUCUCUGUGAGUUUGAGGGACUGGAAACUUUCUUUCUAUGGAAACUCAAACAAACAGUGGGGUCUAAAG
rnacentral:rRNA from 1 species